rnacentral:rRNA from 1 species
GGCCGAUGUCAGAUUAGGUAGUUGGUGGGUAAAAGCUCACCAAGCCAACGAUCUGUAGCUGGUCUGAGAGGACGACCAGCCACACUGGAACUGAGACACGGUCCAGACUCCUACGGGAGGCAGCAGGUGGGGAAUUUUUGGACAAUGGGCGCAAGCCUGAUCCAGCCAUUCCGCGUGCAGGAUGAAGGCCUUCGGGUUGUAAACUGCUUUUGUACGGAACGAAACGGUCUGCCCUAAUACGGUGGGCUAAUGACGGUACCGUAAGAAUAAGCACCGGCUAACUACGUG